rnacentral:rRNA from 1 species
UAGUCAUAUGCUUGUCUCAAAGAUUAAGCCAUGCAUGUCUAAGUAUAAACUGCUUAUACUGUGAAACUGCGAAUGGCUCAUUAAAUCAGUUAUAGUUUAUUUGAUGGUACCUCUACUCGGAUAACCGUAGUAAUUCUAGAGCUAAUACGUGCGCAAAUCCCGACUUCUGGAAGGGACGUAUUUAUUAGAUAAAAGGCCAGCCGAGCUCACGCUCGACCUGCGGUGACUCAUAAUAACUUCACGAAUCGCACGGCCUCGCGCCGGCGAUGUUUCAUUC